AUAAUAUUUUAAUAACUUCUGAAGUUUUAAACUCCAGAGUUAAUUAGUUGCAUAUUUUGUCUAGCCCUCAGUAAAAAUGGUUGCCAAAUAACUAUACUCCUUUGAAAAUCUGUUAAAGUUUUCUAGUUUCUAGUUGCCCUACAAAAGUAUGCACAUACAUUCUAAAUUUUGGUGAACAUGUCAAAAGGUUUGUGUUCUAGAAUGCUUUGUUUUCCUAGCCGCUUACACUCCUGGCUCCCACCUGAUUAUCAUCCCUAUUCCCAUUUAUGACUGAAAGUUGAGUACAUCCACAGGUGUUAAGAAGAUGGCGUUCUAACAAAACAAUUACUGGGAUGGGGUGUGGGUGGGUUGGUCUGAGAUGACUUAGGUACUAAAACAGUGUGGUAUAUUCAGUCAUGUAGACCAUAUUAAAUUACCGCUCCUGUUCAUUAUAAUCAUGUGACUGAGCUAGAUACUUAUACUCUCCAACCCUGUUUUUUCACUUUUUAAAUGAAACUUGAGAAUGGUGUCACUACAGCAACCACAGAUGUCAUGUAUAUUAAUUGCCUCUCCUGGUACCUGGCAUGUUCUGAGGAGUGUUCAUUCCAGGUAGUAUUCAGUCAUCACUGGUGGUUGAAUCUGAGAGAUGUUUAGUCUAAGAGGCUCCAUUGCUUUGUAGGGCCAGUGGUAGAGGAAGGCAGCAGAACUCUCGCUGUCAUAUUUGCCUUGCUAUCUUGAAAUUUUGUCUAAAAAAUUGGGCUAAGUUGUGUGGAAUUAGCCUGGGAUUUGUAUUAAGUGGAAAAGGUUUUGCUGACAGUUUUUUGAGCCCUCUAGCAGAAUCAGGAAGUAGGGAGAUAUUACUCAAAAGUCUUAGAAUUCUUUUAAUGGAUAAAGAGAGAUGUACUGUUCUUAAAUAUUAUUCUUAAAUAAUUUUUCUUCUAUAUUUAAUAAUAGGAAAUGGUUUUAAAAGCUGUAUUUAUUCUAGGCUGUCAUAUAGACAGAACUUAAAAAAAUCUGUUAAGCUAAGGCUAAGUAAUGAAUGGGACAGAAAAAAGGGAAGACUUACAUGAUGCGGCAGAACGGGUUUGAGGGGAGGAGUCCUUUUUAAUACUACUUCGCUAUGAGAUUUUAGUAAGCUUGCAGAAAAGAUUUAAAAGGUUCAGUUGGUAAUCUAAAAGUGUUAAAGAUAUUUGUUUUGUACAGCUUUACCUGAAGUUCUCAUUUGUAACUGUCGGGGCAGUGUUACCUAGCAGUGGUUUCUAAUCGAAGUUCUCAGGCCUCUAGAAGGCAAUGGAUGUAAUAAUGAGUACCAGUGUGGUCUAACAAAAUUCCUAGCAAGUGUUAAUUGAACUAUAAAUCAAGUAUUUCAUUCUAAAGGCUGUCUGAAAUAUAAAAUGUCUCUGAUGUAUUGUGGAAUAUGCUUUUGAAGGCAACAUUUUGAUUCAUUACUUACCUGUAUAGCAGGCACUGAUGAGAAGGAUUUGUUUAAAAAUUUGGGGAUAAGGAAGGAGAAGGAAAGCUCUUCUUAGUCUCAUUGACAUGGACCAGGCCCUGUAUAAAAUUCUGAAAUAGUCUAAGUUCCUCUUUGGGUUCCUUCCCCUCAGCCUCCUCUUAUAGUACUCCUACUUAAGGGAGCACAGGGCUCAAUGGUUUACCUACCUCUUUUCACAUAAGUGCCUGGUGCUGUCAAAUUAUGCUCAGCCACCUUAACACCCCCCCCCCCCCCCAGUACUUUUUAUGUCAGCAAGAUUUGGGAGGAAAGUAAUUAGGUUAUACUAAUUCACUCUAAGCUAGGAAAGAUCACUAGCCCUAUUAUAGCUUUAAUGGAUCUUUAUUUUUUAAGAAAUAAAUCUUAUAACCCAGAUCAAUUUAGAAUAGAAUUCUAGGCACUGUAAUAGAGAAAAAUAAGAACUUUCAGGCAAUGUUCAGGAAGAUGUUUUACAUUAGGAGGCAGAUAGGUAGCAGGCUGGCCUCAUUUUGUUAGUGUCUGAUUUUAUAGGUAUCUUCUCCCUUCCAAUUCUGAAAGCUCCAAAUUUAUCACAAAGAGAGUGAAAGCUGUUUACUAGUUAGUGAUUAGAGAUAAAGAUUGCUUUUAUGUUCCUUUUAGUGGAUAUAUUUAUUUGAUGAUUGGCUUUCAUAGUUGAGUUUUAGUUCUCUUUAAUUUGGGUUACUUAUCCUUACC